UAGAGUUUGAUCAUGGCUCAGGAUGAACGCUAGCGACAGGCUUAACACAUGCAAGUCGAGGGGCAGCGGGGAGGUAGCAAUACUUCCGCCGGCGACCGGCGCACGGGUGAGUAACACGUAUGGAACCUGCCCGUAGCAGGGGGAUAAACGGAAGAAAUUCCGUCUAAUACCGCGUAAUAACUCCGAGAGGCAUCUCAUGGAGUUUAAAGGGUAACACCGGCUACGGAUGGCCAUGCGGCGCAUUAGCUAGUUGGCGGGGUAACGGCCCACCAAGGCGACGAUGCGUAGGGGUUCUGAGAGGAAGGUCCCCCACACUGGUACUGAGACACGGACCAGAUUCCUACGGGAGGCAGCAGUGAGGAAUAUUGGUCAAUGGGCGCGAGCCUGAACCAGCCAAGUCGCGUGAGGGAAGACGGUCCUAUGGAUUGUAAACCUCUUUAGGCGGGGAGCAAUGCCGGGCACGCGUGCCCGGAGGGAGAGUACCCGCAGAAUAAGCAUCGGCUAACUCCGUGCCAGCAGCCGCGGUAAUACGGAGGAUGCGAGCGUUAUCCGGAUUUAUUGGGUUUAAAGGGUGCGUAGGCGGAUUUUUAAGUCAGCGGUAAAAUGUCCGGGCUCAACCCGGGCCGGCCGUUGAAACUGGGGAUCUUGAGUGGGCGAGAAGUAUGCGGAAUGCGUGGUGUAGCGGUGAAAUGCAUAGAUAUCACGCAGAACUCCGAUUGCGAAGGCAGCAUACCGGCGCCCGACUGACGCUGAGGCACGAAAGCGUGGGGAUCGAACAGGAUUAGAUACCCUGGUAGUCCACGCAGUAAACGAUGAAUGCUAGUUGUCCGGUUCUUUGGGACUGGGUGACACAGCGAAAGCGUUAAGCAUUCCACCUGGGGAGUACGCCGGCAACGGUGAAACUCAAAGGAAUUG
rnacentral:rRNA from 1 species